rnacentral:misc_RNA from 1 species
CACGUUCACUUUCUCUUCUAAGCUUUCCAAGAGCUCUAUUGUCCUUGCUAAUGUCCUUUCCAUGCUUCUUCUUGAUCAACUUGAUGAAGUACUCCAUGACUCUCUGGUCAAAAUCCUCACCUCCCAAAUGAGUAUCGCCAUUUGUGGCAAGAACUUCAAAAACACCAUUAUCAAUUGUCAAAAUACUGACAUCAAAUGUCCCACCACCAAGGUCGAAGACAAGAAUGUUCUUUUCACCAUCCUUUUUAUCUAA